rnacentral:rRNA from 1 species
AUACGUAGGUGGCAAGCGUUGUCCGGAAUUAUUGGGCGUAAAGCGCGCGCAGGCGGUCUCUUAAGUCUGGUGUGAAAGCCCACGGCUCAACCGUGGAGGGUCAUUGGAAACUGGGAGACUUGAGUGCAGAAGAGAAGAGUGGAAUUCCACGUGUAGCGGUGAAAUGCGUAGAGAUGUGGAGGAACACCAGUGGCGAAGGCGACUCUUUGGUCUGUAACUGACGCUGAGGCGCGAAAGCGUGGGGAGCAAACAGGAUUAGAUACCCUGGUAGUCCACGCCGUAAACGAUGAGUGCUAAGUGUUAGAGGGUUUCCGCCCUUUAGUGCUGCAGCAAACGCAUUAAGCACUCCGCCUGGGGAGUACGGCCGCAAGGCUGAA